rnacentral:rRNA from 1 species
ACGAACGCUGGCGGCGUGCUUAACACAUGCAAGUCGAACGGAAAGGCCCUGCUUUUGUGGGGUGCUCGAGUGGCGAGCGGGUGAGUAACACGUGAGUAACCUGCCCUUGACUUUGGGAUAACUUCAGGAAACUGGGGCUAAUACCGGAUAGGAGCUCCUGCUGCAUGGUGGGGGUUGGAAAGUUUCGGCGGUUGGGGAUGGACUCGCGGCUUAUCAGCCUGUUGGUGGGGUAGUGGCUUACCAAGGCUUUGACGGGUAGCCGGCCUGAGAGGGUGACCGGCCACAUUGGGACUGAGAUACGGCCCAGACUCCUACGGGAGGCAGCAGUGGGGAAUAUUGCACAAUGGGCGGAAGCCUGAUGCAGCAACGCCGCGUGCGGGAUGACGGCCUUCGGGUUGUAAACCGCUUUCGCCUGUGACGAAGCGUGAGUGACGGUAAUGGGUAAAGAAGCACCGGCUAACUACGUG